rnacentral:tRNA from 1 species
GGCGGUAUAGCUCAGUGAUAGAGCACGUGCUUAGCAUGCAGGAGGUCCUGGUUUCAAUCCCCAUUACCUACA